UGCAUCCUACGGGGCGCAGCAGUGGGGGAUAUUGCACAAUGGGGGAAACCCUGAUGCAGCGACGCCGCGUGUGGGAAGACGGUCCUCUGGAUUGUAAACCACUGUCCCCAGGGACGAAGAUGACGGUACCUGGGGAGGAAGCUCCGGCUAAAUACGUGCCAGCAGCCGCGGUAAUACGUAUGGUGCAAGCGUUAUCCGGAUUUACUGGGUGUAAAGGGAGCGCAGGCGGCACGGCAAGCCUGAUGUGAAAGCCCGCGGCCCAACCGCGGGACUGCAUUGGGAACUACCGGGCUGGAGUGCCGGAG
rnacentral:rRNA from 1 species